rnacentral:rRNA from 1 species
UACGUAGGGGGCAAGCGUUGUCCGGAUUCAUUGGGCGUAAAGAGCGUGUAGGCGGCCAGGUAGGUCGGUUGUGAAAACUGGAGGCUCAACCUUCAGACGUCGACCGAAACUAUCUGGCUAGAGUCCGGGAGAGGAGAGUGGAAUUCCUGGUGUAGCGGUGAAAUGCGCAGAUAUCAGGAAGAACACCCGUGGCGAAAGCGGCUCUCUGGAACGGUACUGACGCUGAGACGCGAAAGCGUGGGGAGCAAACAGG